rnacentral:ncRNA from 2 species
CCUACAUACCUUGUUUCGGGUGCCCUUCACAGGGUGAAACGGGAAACCGGUAAAUCAUGCCUGCAUGACCAGUCCGGUGCUGCCCCCGCAACGGUAAGCGAGAGAAGCGUCAUAUCCACUGUGCCUGCAAGGCAUGGGAAGGCGAUGCUUUACAGACCCAGCGUCCCUCGCAAGCCCGGAGACCGGCCCGAAAAAACUCACACAA